rnacentral:rRNA from 1 species
AUGCCACUAAAAGUUAAGAUUUUCAUGUGAUAUCUUCGAAAGGGAGUAGUGGUAGCCAAAGACAACCUCGCUCGUCACAACUGGCAUGACAAGAAGAACUGUAGUUUUUGUACUCGCAAUGAGGCAAUCAAACACCUCUUCUUCAAGUGCAAGUUUGCAUGUUCUACAUGGCCAGUCAUCCAAAUAGCAUCAAUUUUGUAUCCUUCCACAAGUUUUGUCAAUAUUUAUGGUCACUGA